rnacentral:rRNA from 1 species
GUCCACGCCCUAAACGAUGUCAACUAGUUGUCGGGAGAGGAGACUUUCUUGGUAACGCAGCUAACGCGUGAAGUUGACCGCCUGGGGAGUACGGUCGCAAGAUUAAAAACUCAAAGGAAUUGACGGGGGCCCGCACAAGCGGUGGAUUAUGUGGAUUAAUUCGAUGCAACGCGAAAAACCUUACCUACCCUUGACAUGCCAGGAACUUGCCAGAGAUGGCUUGGUGCCCGAAAGGGAACCUGGACACAGGUGCUGCAUGGCUGUCGU